UCCGGCCAAUAGUUUGCAGCUAGCUAGCAAUCUAACUCAGUAUCGCUUCUCACAACUUUCCAAACAUGGAUUCACGCAAAACGGGCAUUUUAUCGUCGGUAAGGGGAUGCCACAAUAACUGGCAGAAACGGAAGCGUUUUGACCACCACAUUUUUUUGAGGACCAGGUGUAGUUGAACCUUUUGAUUUGCACUCACUUCCUAAGGACGAGGGAGUCUCUUCGGCUUUGGCUCAAAGUAUUGAACUUGAAGAAACCACCAAACUGACUCUGUUUGUUACUAUCACAUUGUGGACAAGAGGCCGACUGAAGAGCAUCGUUUUCCUGAGAUGUUGCUGGGCUAUGAUGCUCCAGUACAGACCCGAAGGCGAUCUCAUCAGAACAUCAACACAUACAGAUGAAGACAACUGUGGUGAUGCAGAGUCUGAUCAGAGUAUGCAAUGCCACCGCAGCAUAAAGAUGCUGAUACUCAAUAGGAAGUUCCAGCAUUGACUGCACAGCUACAUGUCAAGAGAACCAGUCAACAAGCGCACCUGCCACAAACAAACCCAAUGUAGUGGUGCAGAGCCAUUGACCCACACCAUCCUGAAGAAUGACACUAGCUCAGUGUUAUAUACUGACCUUCCACUUAGUGUUUUAUUUGACCAUGUAGCGUUUCUGCAGAAAUUUUACACGGCGAACUUCAGAAUGCAUAUCACUGAUCAAAUACUGAUAGCCUUGAUGAAGCUGAAUCUACUCCAGGGUGAUCUUACUGAACGCUUUGCUGUGUCCCAGGGAGUAGUGAGCAGAAUCCUUUCCUACUGGAUUGACACAAUGGAGGAGCACAUGAGGAUCUACAUUCCAUGGUUGCGGAGGGAGACAAUCCAGAACACAAUGCCUCAGUGCUUUAAUGGAGUACCUUAGGCCUGGCAAUUAAGUUAUGGCAGACAGGGGCUUCACCAUCUGAGAUCUGCUGUAUGAGAGGAAGGUAAACCUUGCCAUACCAGCCUUCACUCAAAAGGAGACUCGCUGUCUGACGAGGAUGUCACAAGCACGAGAAGGAUAGCUAAUGUACAUGUUGAGAGAGAUAUCAAACGACUCAAGGUGUUCUAAAUCCUCUCCCAGACUGUUCCCAUCAACCUGACGUACAAAAUGGACAAAGUCCUUAAAAUCUGUGCAGCACUUGUUAACAUGCAGGGUGAAGUCAUCCACAAGGAUGCUUAGUGAGCAGUGAGAAUGUUCAUACAUAUGAAAUGUAACUUUACACUAAUUUUAUCCACAUGAGAUACUGUGUGUAUAUAUAGUUUCCUAUUUAAUCUGAAUCAUUUUAAUGUUCCUACAUUAGAAAUGUAGUGUAACUUUGCCUGUUCCUGAUAAUUACAGGCAUCCAAUAGGUGCUGUUAUCAUGCCUUCUUCAAUCUAUUUAAAAUACAUUUUCUUUCUUUCUUACAGACCAAGAGGGAAGACAACUGUUUACGAAAUGCCAGACUGUUUUCUUAAUUUGUGCCUUUGAAAGCCAAACCCAGAAUAAAACUGAAAACACAUUUGAAACCCUUA